UCAUUCGCAAAACAAUUAUUAUUGCGAAUGUUGUUUAUUAUGGUUUUUUAAAUAAUAAAAUGGAAAAAGUUAAUGAAGUUUUGUUGGACUCUGUAACAACUAGUUGGAGUGGUUAAGCUGUUCAUUUACAUGAUAAUGUAUACUCAGAUGCAUCUUGUAAUGUGGUAUAAAAAAUUAUCUGUACGUAACAAACGAUGGAGACGAAGUGAUUAUUAUGUGUGGCAAACGAUUAUUUUAUAAAUUUUUCAAUUUCUGAUUUCGUGAUGGAACUUAUUGGAGUACACUUUUCUUGGACAUAGGAGGAGUAUUGCCGCUACAAGCAUAAACAAUAAUAAAACAUUCCAAAGAAUAAUUUGUUAUUUCAACGAUUAGCUUUGUUGUUUAAAUGUAUAAAUACUUUUUGAAUAUUCUUAUUAUAUAUC